rnacentral:piRNA from 1 species
UGCCCAUUCCCAGGUCUCAAAUGUUCAUGC